ensembl:lncRNA
AGGGUGGCCGAGCACAACAGCGAGCUGCAGAAGGAGGACGUGGCUAAGGAGAUCACAAAGUUGAAGGAAGAUAGCCGCCGACUGCGGGAGGAGAAGGUGCGGCUGCAGGGGCAGGCCGAGGAGGACACACGCCUCCACCAGGAGCUCCAGGAGCAGCUCAGCCAACUUGCCAAGCAUGUCAAGGUCAUACCAGAAUUACGUAGGGAGAUUAACAGCCUCAAAAUCGAGAAAGAUGAAACAGACAGAAAAUUGAGUGAGCAAACUCAGCAGACCUCAGAGAAAAUUAAUUUGAUUACAAGGCAGCUUCUUGGUGAGGCGAAAGAAGAGGAGCUCAUUCUGAGGUUCUGACAGACAUUCCUGCCUGAUUUUUUUC